GACGAACGCUGGCGGCGUGCUUAACACAUGCAAGUCGAACGGAAAGGCCCUGCUUUUGUGGGGUGCUCGAGUGGCGAACGGGUGAGUAACACGUGAGUAACCUGCCCUUGACUUUGGGAUAACUUCAGGAAACUGGGGCUAAUACCGGAUAGGAGCUCCUGCUGCAUGGUGGUGGUUGGAAAGUUUCGGCGGUUGGGGAUGGACUCGCGGCUUAUCAGCUUGUUGGUGGGGUAGUGGCUUACCAAGGCUUUGACGGGUAGCCGGCCUGAGAGGGUGACCGGCCACAGUGGGACUGAGAUACGGCCCAGACUCCUACGGGAGGCAGCAGUGGGGAAUAUUGCACAAUGGGCGGAAGCCUGAUGCAGCAACGCCGCGUGCGGGAGGACGGCCGUCGGGUUGUAAACCGCUUGCGCCUGUGACGAAGCGUGAGUGACGGUAAUGGGUAAAGAAGCACCGGCUAACUACGUG
rnacentral:rRNA from 1 species